ACUCUCAUACUGGUCCCAGUGCCAUCCAUGUACCAUCCCCAUACUGGUCCCAGUGCCAUCCAUGUACCAGCCCCAUACUGGUCCCAGUGCCUCCCUUAUUCUGGUCCCAGUGCCACCCAUGCACCAGCCCCACACCAGCCCCAUACUGGUCCCAGUGCCACUCCCACACUGGUCCCAGUGCCAUCAUUAUU
rnacentral:lncRNA from 1 species